rnacentral:lncRNA from 1 species
CAAGCAUCCGGACCUUCCAGCAGGGCAGUCCCUGCAGACACUCAGAACCCUCAACGUUUCAAGUGAGACUGGGCUCUGAGAAAAGCCUGCGCGGUGUAUCCCUUCCUCACCUAUUUUCCUGAGGCUUAAGCAAAUGCUUUUGAAAGUUAUUUCUAAAUAUUUCUAAGCUUGUGACUAUGAAGAUCACAAAUUGAUUUUGAAAAUAUUGUCACUCAAAGAAAAGAGGAAUAGAGGAGUAACACACGCCUUUUUUAGGAAAUAAACAUUGGCUCCUGGGUCUGAAAGAUUACUCUGUGCCAGUGGUGCCCCGGAAUCCGUGAUGACUCUUAGCAGCACUGGAGUGGGAUGACCAGAUGUUGCGGGCCUCCCAACACAGACGACAGGAAAUAUGGCAGGUAGAGAAGAAGUUCAAUGACCAAAUAAGGAAAUUAAUGGACGAAUCCAGAAUGUGGGAAAUUCCACAUAACUACUGAUCUAGUUUCCACAACAGUGACAAGAAGAGUGUUCUACUCUGUAUUUAAAGACUCAAGAGACAUAAAUAAAUGCGACGUGUGAUACAUUUAUAGAGUGUUACAGACUGUUUGUGUCGACCCCAAAAUUCAUACGCUGAAGCCCUUGAUCUCCAACGUGAUGGCGUUCAGAGGUGGGGUCAUAGGGAGAUACUUAGGUUUAGAUAAGGAUGUGAGGGUGGGGCCCCCAUGAUGGGAUUAGUGCCCUUAUAAGAGGAAGAGCCCAGAGCCCUCUGCCGUGAGAGCACACAGCAAGAAGGCAGGCGGC